UACGGAGGGGGCUAGCGUUGCUCGGAAUUACUGGGCGUAAAGAGCAUGUAGGCGGAUUGUAUAGUCAGGCGUGAAAGCCCCAGGCUCAACCUGGGAACUGCGUUUGAUACUUACAGUCUAGAGUCCGAGAGAGGGUGGUGGAAUUCCCAGUGUAGAGGUGAAAUUCGUAGAUAUUGGGAAGAACACCAGUGGCGAAGGCGGCCACCUGGCUCGGUACUGACGCUGAGAUGCGAAAGCGUGGGGAGCGAAC
rnacentral:rRNA from 1 species